rnacentral:piRNA from 1 species
GUUUCAGCAGGCAGACUGGAGUGUGGAUC